rnacentral:rRNA from 1 species
GACGUAGGGCGCAAGCGUUGUCCGGAUUUAUUGGGCGUAAAGAGCUCGUAGGCGGCUGGUUGCGUCGACUGUGAAAACCCGCGGCUCAAUCGUGUGGUCUGCAGUCGAUACGGGCUGGCUGGAGUUCGGUAGGGGAGACUGGAAUUCCUGGUGUAGCGGUGAAAUGCGCAGAUAUCAGGGGGAACACCGGUGGCGAAGGCGGGUCUCUGGGCCGGAUACUGACGCUGAGGAGCGAAAGCGUGGGGAGCGAACAGG